AGUAACGCGUGAGGAACCUGCCUUUCANAGGGGGACAACAGUUGGAAACGACUGCUAAUACCGCAUAAUAUAUGUUUGUCGCAUGGCAGAUAUAUCAAAGAUUUGUCGCUGAGAGAUGGCCUCGCGUCUGAUUAGCUAGUUGGUAGGGUAACGGCCUACCAAGGCGACGAUCAGUAGCCGGACUGAGAGGUUGGCCGGCCACAUUGGGACUGAGAUACGGCCCAGACUCCUACGGGAGGCAGCAG
rnacentral:rRNA from 1 species